rnacentral:rRNA from 1 species
AUUGUCAACAAGGGUUUUUGCUGUGCCCCCUGUAUGGGGCCAUGUGUCACUGCUCUGGUGUACACAUCCACGUCGAACACCUUGUGCACCCUCUGGUAGGUUCUAGUAGCCCUGGAGGGCCCCUGUCCUCUCUGCUGUGGUUCUACAGUCUUGUACACACACACGAUUGAAAGUAUAUAGUUCUUAAUGGUAAUGUAUGUCGCGUUUAACGCAAUGUAAAUACAACNUUCAGCCACGGAUCUCUUGGCUCUCGCAUCGAUGAAGAACGCAGCGAAAUGCGAUAUAGUAAUGCUGAAUUGCAGAAUUCAGUGAUAUCUAUCGAAUCUUGUGAACGCACCUUGCGCCCUUUGGCUAUUCCGAAGGGCAUGCCUGUUUGAGUAUCUAUGUACACCUCAACUCUCAUGGCUUGCCGUGUAUGAGCUUGGACUUUGGGGGUCUUGCUGGCCUGUGGUCGGCUCCUCUCAAAUGAAUCAGCUUGCCGUGUGUUUGGUGGGAUCACAGGUGUGAUAACUAUCUACGCUUGUGGUUUUCCACCAGGUAACCCUCAGCAAUGGAGGUUCGCCGGAGCUUACAAAUGUCUCUCCCCAGCGAGGACAGAUUUUGACCGUUUGAUCUCAAAUCAGGUAGGACUACCCGCUGAACUUAAGCAUAUCAAUAAGUCGGAUGGAAAAGAAACUAACAAGGAUUCCCCUAGUAACUGCGAGUGAAGCGGGAAGAGCUCAAAUUUAAAAUCUGGCGUGCCUCU